ensembl:piRNA 21ur-13624 ncRNA
UAAUACUUGAAGAAAACAAGA